rnacentral:rRNA from 1 species
GAGAUGUGGGUAGUCCGUACGAGCGCACCUUGUCCUUAGUUGCCAGCACAUAAUGGUGGGAACUCUAAGGAGACUGCCGGUGACAAACCGGAGGAAGGUGGGGACGACGUCAAGUCAUCAUGGCCCUUACGACCUGGGCUACACACGUGCUACAAUGGCCAGUACAGAGGGCUGCAAACCCGCGAGGGGGAGCCAAUCCCACAAAGCUGGUCGUAGUCCGGAUCGCAGUCUGCAACUCGACUGCGUGAAGUUGGAAUCGCUAGUAAUCGUGAAUCAGAAUGUCACGGUGAAUACGUUCCCGGGCCUUGUACACACCGCCCGUCACACCAUGGGAGUAGGUUGCAAAAGAAGUAGCUAGGCUAACCUUCGGGAGGCCGGUUACCACUUUGUGAUUUAUGACUGGGGUGAAGUCGUAACAAGGUAGCCCUAGGGGAACCUGGGGCUGGAUCACCUCCUU